UACGUCUGGCGCAAGCGUUGUCCGGAAUUAUUGGGCGUAAAGAGCUCGUAGGCGGUUUGUCGCGUCUGUCGUGAAAGCUUGGGGCUUAACCCCAAGUCUGCGGUGGAUACGGGCAGACUAGAGUGAUGUAGGGGAGACUGGAAUUCCUGGUGUAGCGGUGAAAUGCGCAGAUAUCAGGAGGAACACCGGUGGCGAAGGCGGGUCUCUGGGCCGAUACUGACGCUGAGGAGCGAAAGCGUGGGGAGCGAACAGG
rnacentral:rRNA from 1 species